rnacentral:misc_RNA from 1 species
CCGAGUGCGGACCCUCUGGGUCCAACCUCCCACCCGUGUCUACCGUACCUCGUUGCUUCGGUGGGCCCGCCGUCAUGGCCGCCGGGGGGCGUCUCGCCCCCAAGCCCGUGCCCGCCGAAGACCCCCCUCUGUGAACGCUGUCUGAAUGUUGCAGUCUGAGUCGGUCAGCUAAAUCGGUUA